GACGAACGCUGGCGGCGUGCUUAACACAUGCAAGUCGAACGGAAAGGCCCUGCUUUUGUGGGGUUCUCGAGUGGCGAACGGGUGAGUAACACGUGAGUAACCUGCCCUGGACUUUGGGAUAACUUCAGGAAACUGGGGCUAAUACCGGAUAGGAGCUCCUGCUGCAUGGUGGGGGUUGGAAAGUUUCGGCGGUUGGGGAUGGACUCGCGGCUUAUCAGCUUGUUGGUGGGGUAGUGGCUUACCAAGGCUUUGACGGGUAGCCGGCCUGAGAGGGUGACCGGCCACAUUGGGACUGAGAUACGGCCCAGACUCCUACGGGAGGCAGCAGUGGGGAAUAUUGCACAAUGGGCGGAAGCCUGAUGAAGCAACGCCGCGUGCGGGAUGACGGCCUUCGGGUUGUAAACCGCUUUCGCCUGUGACGAAGCGUGAGUGACGGUAAUGGGUAAAGAAGCACCGGCUAACUACGUG
rnacentral:rRNA from 1 species